UACGUAGGGUGCGAGCGUUAAUCGGAAUUACUGGGCGUAAAGCGUGCGCAGGCGGUUCGUUGUGUCGGUGGUGAAAGCCCCGGGCUUAACCUGGGAAUGGCCAUGGAAACUGGCGAACUGGAGUGUGGCAGAGGGGGGUGGAAUUCCGCGUGUAGCAGUGAAAUGCGUAGAUAUUGGGAGGAACACCAGUGGCGAAGGCGGCUCACUGGACCGGAACUGACGCUGAGGCGCGAAAGCGUGGGGAGCAAACGGG
rnacentral:rRNA from 1 species